GAGUUUGAUCCUGGCUCAGAUUGAACGCUGGCGGUAGGCCUAACACAUGCAAGUCGAACGGUAACAGGCCGCUAGGAUCCCUUCGGGGAGACUUUGGCGCUGACGAGUGGCGGACGGGUGAGUAACGCGUAGGGAUCUGCCUAACAAUGGGGGAUAGCCCGGUGAAAACCGGAUUAAUACCGCAUACGUCCUAAGGGAGAAAGGGUGCCUCUUCUUGACCUCGCGCUAUUGGAUGAGCCUGCGUUAGAUUAGCUUGUUGGUGGGGUAAUGGCCUACCAAGGCGACGAUCUAUAGCUGGUCUGAGAGGAUGAUCAGCCACACUGGGACUGAGACACGGCCCAGACUCCUACGGGAGGCAGCAGUGGGGAAUAUUGCGCAAUGGGCGAAAGCCUGACGCAGCCAUGCCGCGUGUGUGAAGAAGGCCUUAGGGUUGUAAAGCACUUUCAAUUGGGAGGAAAGGUUAGUCGUUAAUAGCGGCUAGCUGUGACGUUACCUUUAGAAGAAGCACCGGCUAACUCCGUGCCAGCAGCCGCGGUAAUACGGAGGGUGCAAGCGUUAAUCGGAAUUACUGGGCGUAAAGCGCGCGUAGGCGGUUGUUUAAGUCAGCUGUGAAAGCCCCGGGCUCAACCUGGGAACUGCAGUUGAUACUGAUCGACUAGAGUACGAGAGAGGGAGGUAGAAUUCCAUGUGUAGCGGUGAAAUGCGUAGAGAUCUGAAGGAAUACCAGUGGCGAAGGCGGCCCCCUGGAUUGAUACUGACGCUGAGGUGCGAAAGCGUGGGUAGCAAACAGGAUUAGAUACCCUGGUAGUCCACGCCGUAAACGAUGUCUACUAGCCGUUGGGUUCCUUGAGGACUUAGUGGCGCAGCUAACGCAUUAAGUAGACCGCCUGGGGAGUACGGCCGCAAGGUUAAAACUCAAAUGAAUUGACGGGGGCCCGCACAAGCGGUGGAGCAUGUGGUUUAAUUCGAUGCAAUGCGAAGAACCUUACCAGGUCUUGACAUCCUGCGAAUUUUCUAGAGAUAGAUUAGUGCCUUCGGGAACGCAGUGACAGGUGCUGCAUGGCUGUCGUCAGCUCGUGUUGUGAAAUGUUGGGUUAAGUCCCGUAACGAGCGCAACCCUUGUCCUUAUUUGCCAGCACGUAAUGGUGGGAAUUUUAAGGAGACUGCCGGUGACAAACCGGAGGAAGGUGGGGACGACGUCAAGUCAUCAUGGCCCUUACGACCUGGGCUACACACGUGCUACAAUGGCCGGUACAGAGGGUUGCAAAGCCGCGAGGUGGAGCCAAUCCCAGAAAGCCGGUCGUAGUUCGGAUUGGAGUCUGCAACUCGACUCCAUGAAGCCGGAAUCGCUAGUAAUCGCGAAUCAGAAUGUCGCGGUGAAUACGUUCCCGGGCCUUGUACACACCGCCCGUCACACCAUGGGAGUGGGUUGCAAAAGAAGUGGGUAGACUAACCUUCGGGAGGUCGCUCACCACUUUGUGAUUCAUGACUGGGGUGAAGUCGUAACAAGGUAGCCCUAGGGGAACCUGGGGCUGGAUCACCUCCUUU
rnacentral:rRNA from 1 species